GGGGAAUUUUGGACAAUGGGGGAAACCCUGAUCCAGCCAUGCCGCGUGCAGGAUGAAGGCCUUCGGGUUGUAAACUGCUUUUGUACGGAACGAAAGGCUCUGCCCUAAUACGGCGGAGAUAUGACGGUACCGUAAGAAUAAGCACCGGCUAACUACGUGCCAGCAGCCGCGGUAAUACGUAGGGUGCAAGCGUUAAUCGGAAUUACUGGGCGUAAAGCGUGCGCAGGCGGUUAUAUAAGUCAGAUGUGAAAUCCCCGGGCUCAACCUGGGAACUGCAUUUGAGACUGUAUAG
rnacentral:rRNA from 1 species